rnacentral:rRNA from 2 species
UACGUAGGCAGCAAGCGUUGUUCGGAGUUACUGGGCGUAAAGGGUGCGUAGGCGGCCCUGUAAGUAUGGUGUGAAAUCUCCCGGCUUAACUGGGAGGGUGCGCUAUAGACUGCGGGGCUCGAGUGUGGGAGAGGAAAGUGGAAUUCCUGGUGUAGCGGUGAAAUGCGUAGAUAUCAGGAGGAACACCGGUGGUGUAAACGGCUUUCUGGACCAUAACUGACGCUGAGGCACGAAAGCGUGGGUAGCAAACAGG